rnacentral:rRNA from 1 species
AGGCACUACGGUGCUGAAGUGACAAAUGCCCUGCUUCCAGGAAAAGCCUCUAAGCAUCAGGUAACAUCAAAUCGUACCCCAAACCGACACAGGUGGUCAGGUAGAGAAUACCAAGGCGCUUGAGAGAACUCGGGUGAAGGAACUAGGCAAAAUGGUGCCGUAACUUCGGGAGAAGGCACGCUGAUGGUAGGUGAAGUGACUUGCUCAUGGAGCUGAAAUCAGUCGAAGAUACCAGCUGGCUGCAACUGUUUAUUAAAAACACAGCACUGUGCAAACACGAAAGUGGACGUAUACGGUGUGACGCCUGCCCGGUGCCGGAAGGUUAAUUGAUGGGGUUAUCCGUAAGGAGAAGCUCUUGAUCGAAGCCCCGGUAAACGGCGGCCGUAACUAUAACGGUCCUAAGGUAGCGAAAUUCCUUGUCGGGUAAGUUCCGACCUGCACGAAUGGCGUAAUGAUGGCCAGGCUGUCUCCACCCGAGACUCAGUGAAAUUGAACUCGCUGUGAAGAUGCAGUGUACCCGCGGCAAGACGGAAAGACCCCGUGAACCUUUACUAUAGCUUGACACUGAACACUGGUCCUUGAUGUGUAGGAUAGGUGGGAGGCUUUGAAGUGUGGACGCCAGUCUGCAUGGAGCCAUCCUUGAAAUACCACCCUUUAAUGGCUGGUGUUCUAACGUGGGCCCGUAAUCCGGGUUGCGGACAGUGUCUGGUGGGUAGUUUGACUGGGGCGGUCUCCUCCUAAAGAGUAACGGAGGAGCACGAAGGUCAGCUAAUCCUGGUCGGACAUCAGGAGGUUAGUGCAAUGGCAUAAGCUGGCUUGACUGCGAGCGUGACGGCGCGAGCAGGUGCGAAAGCAGGUCAUAGUGAUCCGGUGGUUCUGAAUGGAAGGGCCAUCGCUCAACGGAUAAAAGGUACUCCGGGGAUAACAGGCUGAUACCGCCCAAGAGUUCAUAUCGACGGCGGUGUUUGGCACCUCGAUGUCGGCUCAUCACAUCCUGGGGCUGAAGUAGGUCCCAAGGGUAUGGCUGUUCGCCAUUUAAAGUGGUACGCGAGCUGGGUUUAGAACGUCGUGAGACAGUUCGGUCCCUAUCUGCCGUGGGCGCUGGAGAAUUGAGGGGGGCUGCUCCUAGUACGAGAGGACCGGAGUGGACGCAUCACUGGUGUUCGGGUUGUCAUGCCAAUGGCAUUGCCCGGUAGCUAAAUGCGGAAGAGAUAAGUGCUGAAAGCAUCUAAGCACGAAACUUGCC